CGCGGCCUAUCAGCUUGUUGGUGAGGUAACGGCUCACCAAGGCAUCGACGGGUAGCUGGUCUGAGAGGACGAUCAGCCACACUGGGACUGAGACACGGCCCAGACUCCUACGGGAGGCAGCAGCAGGGAAUUUUGCACAAUGGGCGCAAGCCUGAUGCAGCGACGCCGCGUGGGGGAUGAAUGCCUUCGGGUUGUAAACCCCUUUCAGGAGGGACGAAGCGAAAGUGACGGUACCUCCAGAAGAAGCCCCGGCCAACUACGUGCCAGCAGCCGCGGUAAUACGUAGGGGGCGAGCGUUGUCCGGAUUUAUUGGGCGUAAAGAGCUCGUAGGCGGUCCAACAAGUCGGCCGUGAAAGCCUGAGGCUCAACCUCAGGACGCCGGUCGAAACUGUUGUGACUAGGGUUCGGUAGAGGAGAGUGGAAUUCCCGGUGUAGCGGUGAAAUGCGCAGAUAUCGGGAGGAACACCACUAGCGAAGGCGGCUCUCUGGGCCGAUACCGACGCUGAGGAGCGAAAGCUAGGGGAGCAAACAGGAUUAGAUACCCUGGUAGUCCUAGCCGUAAACGUUGGGCACUAGGUGUGGCGGACUCAUUGACGUCUGCCGUGCCGUAGCUAACGCAUUAAGUGCCCCGCCUGGGGAGUACGG
rnacentral:rRNA from 1 species